rnacentral:rRNA from 1 species
CAGCAGCCGCGGUAAUACGUAGGGUGCAAGCGUUAAUCGGAAUUACUGGGCGUAAAGCGUGCGCAGGCGGUUAUAUAAGACAGAUGUGAAAUCCCCGGGCUCAACCUGGGAACUGCAUUUGUGACUGUAUAGCUAGAGUACGGCAGAGGGGGAUGGAAUUCCGCGUGUAGCAGUGAAAUGCGUAGAUAUGCGGAGGAACACCGAUGGCGAAGGCAAUCCCCUGGGCCUGUACUGACGCUCGUGCACGAAAGCGUGGGGAGCAAACAGGAUUAGAUACCCCAGUAGUCCCUGUCUCUUAUAC